UUUAAAUAACUUUGCAGUUCAUUGGUAAACGAAGUGAUGCCGCUUGCCAGACCGAGACACGCACCCGUGACGUGGGUUGUCAAACGGAACCAAGAUGGGGUUUCAGAACAGUGGGCACACAGCUCGCAGAACGCAUACGGUUCAACAGGGAAAGCAAGGAACUUGCAUGUGGGACUAAAAAGUGGGAGUGGGGUCCAGCUGGAUGUACCUGUGGGAGAAUCCCGCAGCAUCAUUGAAUCUAAAACAACUUAAAUGAGAACCAGGUAAAUGAAUCAGACAUUUCUUUUAAUCUGUUCUUUUUAAGCUUAACUUUUAACAAUCUCUUUAAUCAUGUUAUAUCUAAAUGUAAAACACUUUGUAACCGUGCUUUUAAAAAGUGCAAUCCAAAAUAAGUUGUCAAAAAUUGUUUUAUCCUUUGAGACCCUUUUUGAGGAUUUUUCACUAUCCUCAAUUUGGAUUAAAAAGGUUUAUAUAAUAGAUAACCACUCAUUUUUUUUACAAGGCUUGUUCCUAUCAGGAAAUGUCACAUUUUGGCCUGGAUAUGAUAUCAAUUAGUUCCUAAGUGCUAUUGAGAUGCUUAAUUACAAAUAGCACUCUGGCCGUGUUACUUGCACUACUCCUGCACACUUGCACACUUGCACACUUGCACAUUUGCACAUUUGCACAAUUGCACAUUUGUACUUGAUAUGAAUUUACAUUUCCCUGCACUAGCUCAGUGAUUUAAUUGUGUUGAUGUUGUCGUGAUGUUGUCCUUUUGUAUUCUGUCUUUAUGUGAACCCUGGCUGCAAAACAAAUUUUCCCCUAGUGGGACAAUAAAGAUAACCUUGAACCUUGGUAGGCCCUAUUAUUUGAGGAAAAAAAUAAUUUUUGCUUGCUAAAAAAAUGCAUUCACUUGACUAUAUCACCUAAGCCAAAAGUGUCAGCUGAAUUAUAUCAUCUUACAUUUUAAGAAUAGGUUGUAUGAAGUAUUAAUAUCAUAGAGUCAUGUCAAUAGAACAUAUAAUUGCUGUAUAAUGGGUAAAAUUAUAAAUAGAGUACCUGGCAGAAAUGUGUUCAGAGAACUGAAAUGGUAAAGUCAAUUAUUUUCUUUUAUUUUGAUGAUACUGCAACCAGUUCAAACAAGAAUUAUGUUUAACAAUAAUAAAUUAUAAAAGAAAAAUUAAUUAGCAUGAUAUAUAACCUGGUAACCCACAUUGAAACUGGUUAACAUUUGUUAGGAUCGCACAGGGUUAAAUUUUUGUCCCCAAUGUUUGUUUUUUUAUAUUGAACUUUUGAUACAUAAUGGUCAGGCUUAUGUACUGUAUUCCUAUUGGUUAAUCGGUUGUGAUCAGGCAUCCUUUUUUGGUUUUGACGUGAUUGACUGUGCAUUUUUAGUUUGUUACAUUGUUUUAAAAUGAUGUCUGGGUUGGAGUGUGUUUAAGAGGAAAAAAAAGAUUUUGAGGUCCUUCUUUGUGAGAGUUGGAGCUGUGGAGAGUUGGGAGAAGGAUGAAGGAGGUUGGUGAGACCUAGGCUAAUGGCAGGCGAAUUGGCUGGCGAAUGCUCGUACCCUGGAGAGGACCUACCUGGGGAUCUACCUGGGCGUUUCUCAAAAGAUUGUCUCCAACGCUGGAAUCUCCAAGUUCUUCCUCGCCAAUUCUCUGCAGAACUGUGUGGGCAGCUACUGUCAAGCUCAUGAAGUUCAUAGAAUCUGCAACAGGUGUGCAACACAAAUUGACAGAGGUCCACUUGGGAUUUCUCUCUCUAUGGGCUUUGUCUGCACCAUAGGCUCUGGGGCCGGAAGCACCUGACCUGCACCACAGGAAGAGAAGUUACAUGACUCAAACUACCUAGGAAGCGAGUUCUUUUGGGUAAACAAACAAGUGUGAGGUUUCUUCAAUAUACAAAGCUAAAGCUGAGAUAUAUCAAUGUUUUAUAACUACAAUAAUUUCAAUAUAAGCUAUGUUAGCAUGCAAGCUUUUGUAUAAUGCUUUGGUGAGGUGACAUUGUCUGGUAAUGCUUGUUAAACUUAUGCAUAUGUUGGUGAGCCUUAGUCGUUGUCAACUCAGUGUUGCUUUAGCAAAUGUGUAUUGAGUGCGGGCUAAUGCACAUGUAGACUACCAUGACAUUAGAUGUUCCGUAUACUGAACUCUACAGCCUUUUCCCUCAAACCUUUUCUGGCCUCCUUACAAGCGUUCAUCCAUUUGUGAUGUCAAAGUCACAUUUACUUGAACUGUUCUCCCUUCAAAUAUCCGAAUAUUACAUAGCCUCGGCUAUUUGUUUGCUGCAUCACAGUAGCAUUGUUUGACGGUAAACUAGUCUGAAACACUGGAAGGAAUAUGAUGAUGUUUAUUCUGCAAUAGUUUCCCAAUACCAUUGAUUAUCAUGUGUACCUGUUGGGGGUGCAUAUCACUGGUUUAGAUACAACCUUAAAACCUAGCAGGCAUGUUUUUUCUAGCUAAACUGAAGAGCCCCUUUGUAUGAAGUGAAAUCAUGAUAACUGUCCUUGAAAUUACAAUUUAGGAAAAUUAGAUAAGGACUGCACUUCCAUAAAAUAUUUUCAUAUAUUUUUUAUUUUCACAAACAUUUGGACCAAAACGCCCUUCUUGAGUGUGCGAAGCCACUUCAGGCUACAAGCAUCACCACUCGGCAGUCGGAUUCUGUGAGCUUGUGUGGCCUACCGCUUUGCAGCUGUUGCUCCGAGACAUUUCCACUUCACAACAACAGCCCUUACAGUAGAAUGGGGCAGCUCUGGCAUGGAAGAAAUUUGAUGAACUUACUUGUUGGAAAGGUGACUUCCUAUGACAGCACCACAUUGAAGUCACUGAGCUCUUUAGUAUGACCCAUUCCACGACUAAUGUUUGUCUAUGGAGAUUGCGUGGCUGUAUGCUUGAUUUUAUGCGCCUGUUAGCAAUGGGUGCUGGCUGAAGUAGCCAAACCCACUCCAGUCUCAUGUGACCACCUCAAUUGGAACAGACUAUCCCAUUUCGAUUGAAAAUUCAUUCGGUGUGAAAGGAAUGGUGUAAACCUUUCGAUAAUCAGAUCAAUAGGGUAAUGUUACCCAUGUAAACACUUAAACUGUCUGUGAAAGCACAUUCUCUGUGAACCGUUGUCUGACUUCACAGAAAGUCAUGUUGCUUAUAAUGAAUUAAAUGUUGUUUGAUUCCAUAUGUUAGUCACCAUAUUUAGGCAAACAAAAUGCAUGGAAAAUUUAUGAAUUUCGAAAAGUAAAAUAUGGCUGUAGCAUUGGGUUCAAGCACCUUGCUCAGUGGGCAUUGCUCUAAAACCUCUCUCUCAUCUUCUCCUGUUUAAUUACUGUAGGAGAAUUUCUUUCCGUUGACACUGCUGUCUGUUAUGUAAGAACACUAUCAAUGCAAAUAUUGUACACACCAUACAACGCAUACAGUGGGCUCCAGAAUUAUUGGCACCCUUGAUAAAUAUGCACAAAAAAUUAUUUUAAAAAAUGCUAAACUAAAUAAUACAG